GACGAACGCUGGCGGCGUGCUUAACACAUGCAAGUCGAACGGAAAGGCCCCUUUGGGGGUGCUCGAGUGGCGCACGGGUGAGUAACACGUGCGUAACCUGCCCUUGACUUCGGGAUAACUUCAUGAAACUGGGGCUAAUACCGGAUAGGAAUCCUUGCUGCAUGGUGGGGGUUGGAAAGCUUCGGCGGGUUUGGAUGGACUCGCGGCUUAUCAGCUUGUUGGUGGGGUAGUGGCUUACCAAGGCUUUGACGGGUAGCCGGCCUGGGAGGGCGACCGGCCACAUUGGGACUGAGACACGGCCCAGACUCCUAAGGGAGGCAGCAGUGGGGAAAAUUGGACAAUGGGCGGGAGGCUGAUGCAGCAACGCCGCGGGCGGGAUGAAGGCCUUCGGGUUGUAAACCGCUUUCAGCAGGGGAGAAGCUUGUGGUGACGGUACCUGCAGAAGAAGCACCGGCUAACUACGUG
rnacentral:rRNA from 1 species